rnacentral:rRNA from 1 species
UGAUACUAAGCCAUGCGAGUCAUUGCAGUAAUGCAAGGCAGACGGCUCAGUAACGCGUAGUCAACCUACCCUAUGGACGGGAAUAACCUCGGGAAACUGAGUAUAAUGCCCGAUAGAACACUAUUCCUGGAAUGGUUUGUGUUCCAAAUGAUUUAUCGCCGUAGGAUGGGACUGCAGCCUAUCAGUUUGUUGGUGAGGUAAUGGCCCACCAAGACUAUUACAGGUACGGGCUCUGAGAGGAGUAGCCCGGAGAUGGGUACUGAGACACGGACCCAGGCCCUAUGGGGCGCAGCAGGCGAGAAAACUUUGCAAUGUGCGAAAGCACGACAAGGUUAAUCCGAGUGGUUUGUGCUAAACGAACCUUUUGACAGUCCUAGAAACACUGUUGAAUAAGGGGUGGGCAAGUUCUGGUGUCAGCCGCCGCGGUAAAACCAGCACCUCAAGUGGUCAGGAUGAUUAUUGGGCCUAAAGCAUCCGUAGCCGGCUCUGUAAGUUUUCGGUUAAAUCUGUACGCUCAACGUACAGGCUGCCGGGAAUACUGCAGAGCUAGGGAGUGGGGGAGGUAGACGGUACUCGGUAGGAAGGGGUAAAAUCCUUUGAUCUAUUGAUGACCACCUGUGGCGAAGGCGGUCUACCAGAACACGUCCGACGGUGAGGGAUGAAAGCUGGGGGAGCAAACCGGAUUAGAUACCCGGGUAGUCCCAGCUGUAAACUAUGCAAACUCAGUGAUGCAUUGGCUUGUGGCCAAUGCAGUGCUGCAGGGAAGCCGUUAAGUUUGCCGCCUGGGAAGUACGUACGCAAGUAUGAAACUUAAAGGAAUUGGCGGGGGAGCACCACAAGGGGUGAAGCCUGCGGUUCAAUUGG